rnacentral:misc_RNA from 1 species
AUACUAAAAUCAUUAUAAUAAUAAUAAUAAAACUUUACUGAAGCUUGUGUAGGUGGUAAAGGAGAUUCAAAAUGUGGAGGAAUUAAAUUUCAGAAUUAUUGAAGUUAAUGAUGCAUCGUAAAUUUCAUAUGCACUUUUUCAUAUCUAUAUCCUUAAAUUUAAAUGGCACGAAAGUGCAUUUAAAAGACCAGCUGAUCAGAUACAGAUGGCGUUUUAGAUGUCAGCAUGAUGUAAAUGGUUUCAAAAUGGAUGGAGGUGCAUAUGAGUGGAAAUAGUUUAUUGAAUAACAAAAAUAGUUAAAAUGACUACCAUUGUACAAGAGGAUAAUGAAUUAAAAAGGUUACUCGGUAACCCUGCAAAAAAUGCUGGUGAAGAAUGUUCAAUGGCUCCGCCGCAAUCGACUAACGUCCCGCGGCCGAGCACAUCACAAAAUGUUAAUCCACAAUUGAUGAUUACCCCAUUGACUCCUGCUCAUAGUACAAAAGAAGUUCUAGAACCGUGUUUACAGAAUGUAGUUUCUACAGUUAACUUAGGUACAGAAUUAAAACUUAUGCAAAUUAAUACAAGAACAAGGAAUUCAGAGUAUAAUCCAGCUAGAUUCACAGGUUUAAUUAUGAGAAUUAGAAAUCCUAGAGCAACAGCACUAAUUUUUCAUUCAGGAAAGUUGGUAUGUACUGGAGCAAGAUGCGAAGAGGACUCCUAUUUAGCAACAAGAAAGUUUGCACGAAUAAUUCAAAAAUUAGGAUUUCCAGUUAAAUUUUAUAAUUUUAAGAUACAAAAUAUAGUUGCUACAUGUGACCUAAAAUUUCCAAUUAAGUUGGAAAAUUUAAAUCAUAUACAUGGACAAUUUUCUAGUUAUGAACCUGAGCUUUAUCCGGGUCUCAUAUACAGGAUGGUAUCACCAAGGGUGGUGUUACUUAUAUUUGUUAAUGGAAAAAUUGUAUUGACGGGAGCAAAGAAUCGAACUGAACUGCAAGAUGCAUUAAACAAUAUAUACCCAAUACUGAAAAGUUUUAGGAAGCAGUAAAAAUAUUUUCAGUACUUUAAGCUUUUUAAUAAACACGCAUAAUUUGUAUCAGAAUACGACGAACUACGACCAUAACGAUAUAAUUUAUUAGUAAAUCGAACGUUAUUUAUUGAAUGGAUAGGAAUUUUGUAUAAAUGCCAUUUUUAUUUGCAAUCACUGAAGAAUUUAUAAAUGAUCUUAUACAAUAAAUUAAGUACAAUGGAUUGUAUAAAUAUUGUAUAGAAAUUGUAUAUAAGAUCAUGUUCUCGUAAAGUUAAUAGCUAAGUGUCUUUUGUAUGCAAGGGAAAUAAAUACAAGUCGAUCAAAUGUAGCACAUUUAUAAAAAUCAUGAAAUUUCUUAUCGUACGAGAUACACGAUAUGUUAUCAAAAAAGAAACUGCAAAAAUAUUUUACGAGUAGAUAAAUUACUUAACAUCGUUGUAUUUAUUAUUAUUUACCAUUCCACGAGACAACGAUAAUUUUAUAUUUGAGACUUUUGCUAAUUCAGUUUCUUGUUAAUUGUUAAUACUUGAUAACAAAAUAUACAUAAUUUGUAAAAACAUAACACAUUUAUAUAUUUAACAUGUAUCGGAUUUAAAAUAUAUACACACAUAUACAUCGAUUCUAAGUCAUCAUAUCUCAUUGCAG